rnacentral:rRNA from 1 species
UACGUAGGGUGCAGGCGUUAAUCGGAAUUACUGGGCGUAAAGCGUGCGCAGGCGGUUUCUUAAGUCAGAUGUGAAAGCCCCGGGCUUAACCUGGGAAUGGCAUUGGAAACUGGCGAGCUGGAGUGUGGCAGAGGGGGGUGGAAUUCCGCGUGUAGCAGUGAAAUGCGUAGAGAUGCGGAGGAACACCGAUGGCGAAGGCAGCCCCCUGGGCCAACACUGACGCUCAGGCACGAAAGCGUGGGGAGCAAACAGG